rnacentral:rRNA from 1 species
UACGUAGGGGGCAAGCGUUGUCCGGAAUCAUUGGGCGUAAAGAGCGUGUAGGCGGCUCGGUAAGUCCGUUGUGAAAGUCCAGGGCUCAACCCUGGAAUGCCGGUGGAAACUGUCGAGCUAGAGUCCGGAAGAGGCGAGUGGAAUUCCUGGUGUAGCGGUGAAAUGCGCAGAUAUCAGGAGGAACACCAAUGGCGAAGGCAGCUCGCUGGGACGGUACUGACGCUGAGACGCGAAAGCGUGGGGAGCAAACAGG